UCCAGGUACUAGCUCUCUAUUUCCGUGGAGAGAUUUCAGACUGAGGGAGAGCGGCAACUGCCCUAUAGCCCUGCAGGUCUUCGGGUCUGUGGUUGUAGGCACCAACCCAGACAAGAGAAGAAAAGACCUGCAGGAUCAGUGCAGGACAGGCAAAAGAGGGAGAAUCUCAACAUGGAAAAGAUCUACAAAGAAAACGAACAAGAACCAGAAGACGAAGGAACCCCAGAAAAUGAGGGAAAGCCAGAAGAAGAAGUUGAUACAGAAGAUGAAGGAAAAUCAGAGGAGGAAGAAAAGCUGGAAGUGGAGGAGAAGCCAGGGCAUGAGGGAAAGCUCCAGAAUGAGGGGCAGCCAGAUGACGAAGGACAACCAGAAGAUGAGGGAAAGCAAGAAAAGCAGGGCAAGUCCAAAGAUGAGGGAAAACCACAUGGUGAGGGCAAGCCAGAAUCCCUGGCAAAGCCUGAGGGUGAGCCACGGGCUGCCGAAAAGCGCCCAGCUGAAGAUUACGUGCCCAGGAAAGCAAAAAGAAAAACAGACAGGGGGACGGAUGAUUCCCCCAAGGACUAUCAGGAGGACUUACAGGAAAGGCACUUGGGCAGUGAGGAGAUGAUGAGAGAAUGUGGAGAUAUGUCAAGGGCUCAGGAAGAGCUAAGAAAAAAACAGAAAAUGGGUGGUUUUCAUUGGAUGCAAAGAGAUGUUCAGGAUCCGUUUGCCCCAAGGGGGCAACGGGGUGUCAGGGGAAUGA